ensembl:snRNA U6 U6 spliceosomal RNA
UGGUGCCCACUUGGCAACACAUUACUAAAACUGGAACGUUACAGAGAACAUUAGCAUGGCCCCUGUGCAAGGAUAAUAACGUAAAUCUGUGAAAUGUUCCACUAAAAA